UACGGGGGGGCAAGCGUUGUUCGGAAUUACUGGGCGUAAGGGUGCAGUAGGUGGCGUCGUAAGUUCGGGUGUGAAAUUUCGGAGCUUAACUCCGAAACUGCAUUCGAUACUGCGGUGCUUGAGGACUGGAGAGGAGACUGGAAUUACGGUGUAGCAGUGAAAUGCGUAGAGAUCGUGAAGGAAGACCAGUGGCGAAGGCGGGUCUCUGGACAGUUCCUGACACUGAGGCACGAAGGCCAGGGGAGCAAACGGG
rnacentral:rRNA from 1 species